AAAUCUGAAAGUUGCUUGAAAACAGUGAUGGAGACUGCUUUGCACCCAUGAACGUUAUGUUGGUCUAUUGUAAACAAUGAAUAAAGUGUAAACUUUGUAGAGUG